rnacentral:rRNA from 1 species
GAUGAACGCUGGCGGCGUGCCUAAUACAUGCAAGUCGAGCGAACAGACGAGGAGCUUGCUCCUCUGACGUUAGCGGCGGACGGGUGAGUAACACGUGGAUAACCUACCUAUAAGACUGGGAUAACUUCGGGAAACCGGAGCUAAUACCGGAUAAUAUAUUGAACCGCAUGGUUCAAUAGUGAAAGACGGUUUUGCUGUCACUUAUAGAUGGAUCCGCGCCGCAUUAGCUAGUUGGUAAGGUAACGGCUUACCAAGGCAACGAUGCGUAGCCGACCUGAGAGGGUGAUCGGCCACACUGGAACUGAGACACGGUCCAGACUCCUACGGGAGGCAGCAGUAGGGAAUCUGCCGCAAUGGGCGAAAGCCUGACGGAGCAACGCCGCGUGAGUGAUGAAGGUCUUCGGAUCGUAAAACUCUGUUAUUAGGGAAGAACAAAUGUGUAAGUAACUAUGCACGUCUUGACGGUACCUAAACAGAAAGCCACGGCUAACUACGUG